GACGUAGGAUGCAAGCGUUGUCCGGAAUUACUGGGCGUAAAGCGUGCGCAGGCGGUUUUGUAAGCCAGAUGUGAAAUCCCCGGGCUUAACCUGGGAAUGGCAUUUGGGACUGCAAGGCUUGAGUGCGGCAGAGGAGACUGGAAUUCCUGGUGUAGCAGUGAAAUGCGUAGAUAUCAGGAGGAAUACCGAUGGCGAAGGCAGGUCUCUGGGCUGACACUGACGCUCAUGCACGAAAGCGUGGGGAGCAAACAGG
rnacentral:rRNA from 1 species